rnacentral:tRNA from 1 species
UGGGGAAUAGUCUAGCGGUAGGACGCCUGGCUCUGGACCAGGUAGGCCAGGUUCGAAUCCUGGUUCCCCAGCCA